AGAUUGAACGCUAGCGGCGUGCCUAACACAUGCAAGUCGAGCGGUAACAGGUGUAGCAAUACAUGCUGACGAGCGGCGAACGGGUGAGUAAUGCUUUGGAAUCUUCCCAGUAGUGGGGAAUAACCAGUCGAAAGAUUGGCUAAUACCGCAUACGUCUGUAAAGGGAAAGCGGGGGCUCGUAAGACCUCGCGCUAUUGGAUGAGCCAAAGUCGGAUUAGCUAGUUGGUGGGGUAAUGGCCUACCAAGGCGACAAUCCGUAGCUGGUCUGAGAGGACGACCAGCCACACCGGAACUGAGACACGGUCCGGACUCCUACGGGAGGCAGCAGUGGGGAAUAUUGGACAAUGGGGGAAACCCUGAUCCAGCGACGCCGCGUGUGUGAAGAGGCCUGCGGUGUAAACCUCUUUAGUAGGAAGAAGCGAAAGUGACGGUACCUGCAGAAAAGCACCGGCUAACUACGUGCCAGCAGCCGC
rnacentral:rRNA from 1 species